UACAGAGGUCUCGAGCGUUAGGCGGAAUCACUGGGCUUAAAGCGUGUGUAGGUGGAUGCCUAAGUACCUUGUGAAAUCCCACAGCUUAACUGUGGAAUGGCUGGGUAUACUGCCUGUCUUGAGCCAACUAGGGGCGAGCGGAACAGACGGUGGAGCGGUGAAAUGCGUAGAUAUCGUCUGGAACGCCAAAGGUGAAAACAGCUCGCUGGGGUUGUGCUGACGCUGAGACACGAAAGCCAGGGGAGCGAACGGG
rnacentral:rRNA from 1 species